AUGGCGACACCUCUGCCACCGGCGGUCCCGGCGCUCCUGUCGCCAAUGCCCCACCAGCCCUGCUGCCUGCCGAUGCUACUGCCUUUGCGUCGCCUGCAUCUCCCCUCUCCUCGUCGGUUCUUCAAACGAUCAACAUCCACUGGCACCCACUUCGACACAUCAAUCAGCAUGUUCGGUCUUCGCGGUCAUGUCGACGCCGAGGCUGUGCAGUGCCCCAACAACCCCGAGUGGGUGAUGGCGGAUCACGCGGUCGUCCAUUGGUUCAACACCACUGUCGCGCCUGGUCUCCUUGAUGUCGUGAUGCAACACGAGGACACGGUACUCACCUUGUGGAUGGUGAUCGACGGCACCUUCCAGGACAACCAGCUCACCCGUGCGAUUUACAUCGACAUCGUGUACCAUACCCUGCGUGAUCUCGGCCAGCCGGUGAGUGAGACGCAACAGGUCUUCUACCUUCUGCGUGGACUUGGGCACCAGUACCAUGGCGCGAUCCUCAUAUCACGCCGCGCACGCCUCUUCUGGCAUUCCCCCAAACUUGCUCCUUCCCGUUUCUCAAGGAGCAUCGUGCGGAUCAAACUGCGCAUCUUCAGAGUGUGCACGCGCUCGUCGCCAGGCGCGUCGCCGCCGCCCCUUCUCCACCGCUUGUCACGCCUGAUACCAACGACAACGGUGGUGGUCGCGGGCGUCAUCGAGGAUGUGGCACCGACACUGGUGAUGGAUCGGGCAGUGGUGGCUCUCCCCAACAACCGCCACCGCGCAUCCCAGGCUUCCAUGCCCCUGCCCCUAGCACCAACUCCUGGACAGGGCUCAUUAACUCGGGACGGUUCGCUACAGGUGUCGGGCGGCCGCCUCUUCGUUGCCCCGCCAAUCUGCCGCAUAAGGCCCAUUUACCAUGUCCUUCUCACGUUCUGCCUGGCAGACAAGAACCAACCCGUCUUGCCGCCGUCUUCUACUAUUUUCAGUCUGGCGUGGACUCCUGCGACCGGCGGACUGGUCACUGGGGCUUGCCGGCGAGUGGGGUGGCGAGCGCCCGGAAAGAGCUGGGAGGCUAGAGGCUGGUCAUGGCUCCUGGGCUCGUCUCGUCGCGGCCGGGCAGGCGACGCCGGCGCCGCGCGCAGAGAUCCGGAGGCAUUGAUGGUUAAGGGGAUCCCGUCAAAACUGGUCAAGGGGGAAACCAUUGAUGCAUCUUACAAAAGAAAGAGAGAAGUAGAACAAGCCGUCCGGCACACCAUAGCAUGUCCUGUUCAUUUUUUGUCACGUUACGAUAUUUCUCCCGUUUCCCCUUUUGCCCUCGCACUCGCUCUCUCCCCGACCACACGCUCUCUCCCGGCCAACACUCUCUCCCCGACCACUCGCUCCUCCCCGCCCAGAUCCCUUGCGCCGCCGGCUAGUCGCCGCCCUCUCCCUCUCGUCGGUGUCUUCCUCACCGCAGCCUUGCUCCUCACCACCCCUAAAACUAGCAACCCGUCUCCCCCUCGUCGGUCAAAGGUGAAAUUUUUACCAGCCGGGGUGCUCGAUCUGUGGGCGGCGGUGCUCGAUCCGUGUUGGAGCAGCGGGAGGAGGAGGGCAGUGCUGGAUUGGAGCAGCGUCCUCUUCGCUCUCGUCAUGUCGUUGCCGCCGCCGAGGAAGAUGGAGAGCCUGUCGGAGGGAGGAGCGCCAUGGCCAGUUCUGACCUCCUCCGUCCAGAUCCAGCUCCAGCAAUCAUCCCCUCUUGCUGCUUGCUCUCUCAAUUUCAAGACUGAAGAAGAGAACAUGGGGAGCAGCAGCUGCCCUCUGCUCUGCUCUUAUGCGAAUGCUCUACUGCAGGACCGUGGCAGCGAUGCUCGCCGAAGCGGACGACAACCACUCCCGUGCAAACAAAGUGCAUUUUCGCUGCAACCUAAUCUGUGGAGUAUCAAGCUAAUUGGAAGAAAGCCAAUUGCUUGCUCUGUAGGAACUUUUAUGUGCUGGAGUAUAGGAUUUGCUGUUUAG
rnacentral:rRNA from 1 species